GACGAACGCUGGCGGCGUGCUUAACACAUGCAAGUCGAACGGAGUGGCGAACGGGUGAGUAACACGUGGGUGACCUGCCCUGCACUUCGGGAUAAGCCUGGGAAACUGGGUCUGAUACCGGAUAGUGUGGGAUGGGCCCGGGGCCUAUCAGCUUGUUGGUGGGGUGAUGGCCUACCACGGCGGCGACGGGUAGCCGGCCUGGGAGGGUGGACGGCCACAUGGGGCCUGAGAGACGGCCCAGACUCCUACGGGAGGCAGCAGUGGGGAAUAUUGCACAACGGGCGGAAGCCUGAGGAAGAGACGCCGCGUGGGGGAUGCCGGCUUUCUGGUUGUAAACUCCUUUCACAAUAGACGCGGUAGAUGGAGAAGAAGCACCGGCUAACUACGUGCCAGCAGCCGCGGUAAUUC
rnacentral:rRNA from 1 species